GGGGGAGGAUGAGUUCUGGUGUUCUCUCUAGUCUUCAAAACUAGUACGAGGGGUUAGGAGCCUCUUAGGUGGGUUCGAUUCCCACCCUUUCCC
rfam:Negativicoccus succinicivorans DORA_17_25 Q612_NSC00093, whole genome shotgun sequence.